GGCCGUCCAUUCAAAGCCAUUAGGUGAACAAAUUUCUGCGAACACCUCCCAAAGUUAACACAAGAUAAUUCAAAAUGGUCAAUUAACACUGCCUUAAUAAUCCAUUGCCGAGUCCUAAAUGAUCAAGAAAUAACUCAUUGAAGUUGCACUGCCGUGCAAAUGUUUGGAUCUUAGACUACACAAAAAUGACAGCUACACCAACAGUUUAAAAUCAAGUAGCAUCCUUCCCACCAAAAAAAAAAAAGUUCAAUAUGCAGAACAACUCCAAACAAAAGCCCAGAACCCUUGCAACUAUCCUCAAUGACGAUACCUGUCCCUGUUCCUUUCACGGUCUCGGUCCCUGUCGCGGCCAUGUUCUCUAUCUUGAUCACAAUCAUAAUCCCAGUCUCGAUCUUUUCCUCUAUCCCUCUCCCUACUUCGACUUCUGUGCCUAUCCCUACCACUGUGUUCUCUGUACUUGCUGCUUUCUUUGUCAUCCCUCUCCCUCCCUCUCUCUCUGCUUCUCUCCCUCCCAUCUCUGUCAACUGAACCUAGUUCCUCAACCUCCCAUCCUGCACGCCCAGCACCCGGAGGUAACCUUCCAGAUUCAGCUUGUUGGGUUUUGGCACGAAACUUUUUCUUCAGAUUGCCAAACUCAUCAUAUAACUCACCAUCAUCUUCUUCCACUUCCUUCCGCCGUCGCCUAGUUUCCUCUAUUUCUUCUUC
rnacentral:misc_RNA from 1 species